CCUGAUACAUAAACAAAACUCUAUAAGUCUAGGAAGAACCUUGACUUAAAAACACCCACUGCAUACAAGAGUAUUAUUCUCUAAUGAACUACGACAGUUAUGAUCAUGAAACCCAUCACAGUUACACCACAACAUCAAGUUUAUAAUGAGGGUAUUAUCACAAGCAAGGAAAGACAUCACAUUUUAAACAGUGCCUACAUAUCUUCCAGCCGGAGCUGGAGUUCAAGACAUCCGUGAGAUGCAAUUUUUGAUUGCGACUAUUCGUUUCUAAAAUGCUGACAACUGAGAUGCCCGUGAAAUCUGCAAAAUGGAAGGCCAGUUAGAUAAAACUAAAGGUUCCUGUAGCAGCCCAGACCUUAGCAACCAGAUAAACGCUCAGGUCACCAGAAAUCAAAGUCCCGACCAGAUUCUGACAAGGGGUGUAUCACUGGCAGACAGAAUGGCAGGUCCAGUCAUUUAGAUCACAGAUCACUUCCAAUAAAGAAGACAAGCAUCAAUACAUAGUGGGCAGGAUGAGUGACCAGCAUUAAUAUAUAGUGGGCAGGAUGAGUGACCAGCACAUCAAUACAAAGUGGGCAGGAUGAGUGACCAUCAUUAAUAUAUAGUGGGCAGGAUGAGUGACCAGCACAUCAAUACAAAGUGGGCAGGAUGAGUGACCAGCACAUCAAUACAAAGUGGGCAGGAUGAGUGACCAGUAUUAAUAUAUAGUGGGCAGGAUGAGUGACCGUGCAGUAUCAAUAAAUAAUGGGCAAGACUUCAUUAAGUAUUUUUCACAUUCUACAUAAAACAAUUAAUCUCCGAGAUUUGUCAAGUUAUCAUUCUUAUUAAGUAAAUAGUGGUAUUUCAGCAAGUUUAAUAAAAAUUUUAAAAUUUGCUAUUCUUUUGUUAUUGUCACCAGCUUGAUAAAUAUUUUGAUAACCAGUGAUGAAAUGUGAGAAUAUAGGUACAAAGGUAUUAGAAAAAUGUGAUACCGGUGUUCUUUAAGUACAAGGUAGGAUUCAUAGGUAUGAUACCUGGGGGGUGGUAAAUAUUUAAGCCAAACAAGAGAAUUUGCAGUUCUCCUGCCAUUCUUCUCACAAAUACCCCAGUAUUAAAAACAGCUGAUCUGUUUUGUGACAGUAACAAACAUAGGUAAACACUUCAUAUCUAAAAAGCUGUCUUAAAAUACCAGCCAUUCAUAUGUUCACAGGGACCACUGUCCGAAUGUAUAUAAGAACACAAACAUCUGAGGUCAGCCAAACAGACUAUUGCAUCACCUUCCUCCUCCAUGAUUUACAAGGAGAUUGACUUUAAUCGUCAGAAAUUGAAGGCCAUCUAAAUACUUUAUGAAUUUACAUAACUGAAGGUCAAUAAUGUGGAUUCAUGUAUCGGUGAACUGUGGGCCAGAUUGAAUAGCCAACCCUAAUAAGCAGCCUAAUUCUAAUGUGUAGUGCAAAUAUUGUACUAAGUCAUCACUCUUUUCUCUGCAAAUCUCUUCAAUAGCCCUAGGGACUGAAAAUAUGAUAGAAAUCUGUGUUCUCAUAAUUUUAACACAAGAUAUACAGCACACCUGCCCGACCUGUUCGAUUUAACAAACGUAUUCAAUUUGAUAAAAUAUAUCAAUACCUCUUUUACAUAAAAGAUAAUUUAAUACUUCAAAUUUCAUUUGAAUAUGUUCAAACAUACGAAUAUCAGAACAGAAAAACAUCACAGGUUUUGAGCAAUACUGUAGUCUAUGAUUUUUUGGGGGGUGAGGGAGGAGGGGAGGGUGUUCAAUUUUAAAUCUGCAAAUUUCAUGGGUUCUCCACCCCAUAAAAUCACCCUUACUCACUGUGAAAUACAAAAUAUAUCAAGUUUCAAUAUACACAAAAUGGAAAUCCUAGGGAAAAUGAAAAAUCUUUAAAAUCUCAUAGAAAAUAGAAAAUCUUGGCAAUCUCCAGAGGAAAAGUAAAUUCUCCAAGGAAAAUAGGUCUAUACAUGAAUUUCAAUUAUCCCCCAAAGUGUGGAUUUCUUUCUGUACAGCUUUUCAAAGAAGCCAUAUUCAUUUAAUCAGAGACAAUUAACAAACAAAAAAUGACUUCCAAAAAAUUAAGUGAUGAGAACAAAAAUAUAAACCAGAAGCUACAAAGGGAUUAUUUUACGCAGGUGUGAAAUGUUGAUGACCCCACCUUUUCCAGGUGGGAUAAAAUAUGACCCUCAACACUUGUGUCAAAUUUUAUACAUUUUCUAAUCCUUUAUCCUUGACAUUUCAACACAUACUAAUGAUCUUAAAUUCUAAUCAACAUAAAAAACAACAUCUGCGUGGUUACUAAAUGAGAAAUUUAAAAAAAGACCAUCAGGAAAAUUGUUUUCUGAAAUCCCUAGGCAUGGAUAAAUUUUGUUGUUGUUUUUUCUUUCUCUGAUGCAAUACCCCAUGACACUUGGUGAAAUAUCUAUUAUAUAUUUGUUUAACAUAUACAUGUAUAUAGACGACCAUUGUACCAUGUUUAUUCCGGCAUGUCAUAAACUAAAUUACAAAACUGUAGCAAACUGACAUUCCGAUCCACACACUGGUAAACCAGACUUAUUUCACGGCUACAGUGAUGUACAGAAAAUGAUGAUCAUGAAAACAUCCCAUCACUCCCUCUCUCUCUUUCUCCACCGAUGAUGUAGAUAAUCUUUACAAUGACACAAAAAUUCACCUACCCUGAAAUAUAAAACUUGGCUACCCCAAAAAAUAUAAAUCCUACCUUUAUCUCGCUGCCUGAGCUGUCGAAGGGCCAAUCGAAUUUGUUUCUUCUCAUCAUAAUCAUUAGUUUCAUUCAGCUGAAAAAAAUUAUAGGAAUUCAUCAACACAAUAAAAAAAAAAGAUAUUGAAUUAACAUAUACCAUCAACAUAUAAAAAGUAAUAUCAGAUAAAUAAAGAGGCUAGUAUAUGUGGAAAUGAAAAAAAGAGUCUUAAAAAAAACACCAAAACCUAAACUGCUUUUAUACACAGUAUUGGGUUGGAGGAUGUUCAAAUGAAAUGAAAUUUAUAGUUCAGUGUUUUAUGCAUUCAGAUGUUAAAAAAU